rnacentral:rRNA from 1 species
UACGUAGGGGGCGAGCGUUGUCCGGAUUUAUUGGGCGUAAAGCGCGUGUAGGCGGCCAUACAGGUCCGUUGUGAAAACUCGAGGCUUAACCUCGAGACGUCGAUGGAAACCGUAUGGCUAGAGUCCGGAAGAGGAGAGUGGAAUUCCUGGUGUAGCGGUGAAAUGCGCAGAUAUCAGGAAGAACACCCGUGGCGAAGGCGGCUCUCUGGGACGGUACUGACGCUGAGACGCGAAAGCGUGGGGAGCGAACAGG